rnacentral:lncRNA from 1 species
GGUUGCUCGGUGGUAUGACUCCAUAUGGAACCCUUAGUUGCUAGCUUACGUUAUUUGGCAUCUGAUGGAGAGCUAUCUUAUUGACAUAUUAUCAUACAACAUACAAGAAGAUGUUAGGUUUACUUUAGUGAAACAGCAACACAAUGUCAUAAAACCAUAAAAGAGAUAACACACGGUCUUUAAAAAACCUACAGAUGUCUUAUAUGAAAUGCACCAAGCACUACAUUUUACCGACUUUAUCAACAUUAUCAAAACAUUAACUAGGGAUUAUUGAAGAUCUGCCAUAAACAGUUAAAACUAAAAUUAAAAUCCCCCCACCCAAAUAUUAUAACAAUUUUAAUUUAAAAUUUCAUCUUUCCUUUUGACAUUUCAAUAAGAUGACGCACACAAGUUUCAAGACCAUAUAAAGAAAUAAUAUGAGAACAGGAAAGUCUUUUUGAUG